GACGAACGCUGGCGGCGUGCUUAACACAUGCAAGUCGAACGGAAAGGCCCUGCUUUUGUGGGGUGCUCGAGUGGCGAACGGGUGAGUAACACGUGAGUAACCUGCCCUUGACUUUGGGAUAACUUCAGGAAACUGGGGCUAAUACCGGAUAGGAGCUCCUGCUGCAUGGUGGGGGUUGGAAAGUUUCGGCGGUUGGGGAUGGACUCGCGGCUUAUCAGCUUGUUGGUGGGGUAGUGGCUUACCAAGGCUUUGACGGGUAGCCGGCCUGAGAGGGUGACCGGCCACAUUGGGAAUGAGAUACGGCCCAGACUCCUACGGGAGGCAGCAGUGGGGAAUAUUGCACAAUGGGCGGAAGCCUGAUGCAGCAACGCCGCGUGCGGGAUGACGGCCUUCGGGUUGUAAACCGCUUUCGCCUGUGACGAAGCGUGAGUGACGGUAAUGGGGAAAGAAGCACCGGCUAACUACGU
rnacentral:rRNA from 1 species